rnacentral:lncRNA from 1 species
AAUAAUCUACCAUUAUAUAUUAUCACAAGUUAUACAGAGAUGAGUAAUAAUGCUAAUUAUUAAAUUUUAUUCAGGUAAGAAUGAAAAUUAAUUAAUGAAAUAGGGAUAUUUUGGAGAAUAUCUUUCAAUGAUUUAUUAAGGCUUUUUAAAUUAAGUAAAAAACUUAAAAAAAUUAGUUUAAUAACUUAAUGAGUUAAUUGAUUAAAAUUAAGUAAAUUAAGUCAAGUCAAAAAAGCAAAUGACUCGUAAGUCUCUAAAAUGCAAAUAAAAAAAUAACACAAAAAUUCGUGGGCGGGGGCAUUUCUGGGAACAAAUGGAUUUAAGAAAUGAGAGAAUUAAGGAUACCCAGAAAGAGCUAAGAACAUGUAAAAUGGUAAACAAAAGUUGUUGAAUAAAAGUUGGAAUGUCCUAGAAUCAAUGGACUUGAAAGAAGGAUGUAAACAAAUUCUUGUGCUUGGGUUGUAUGUUAUCCAAUAGAACAUGAUGGCAUGUCAAGAACAACUUUCACAAACCAUCUUGUAUAUUGUUUCUGUUUAAUGACUUUUUUUUCUUUCCUUUUCUCGAAACAUAUGUUUAAUGACUUCUUAAGCUGAAUAACCCGUUUCAGCUUUUAAUUGGACUAAAAUCCAUCUGAACCUUUUACCCUUAAAUUUAUGAGCAUAAUUGGGAAUGCAGGGAGGUGGAUGUGGUGGGGGUGUUUCGCUACAAGAACACCUGGCCACUGUGUCUGGAGUUCCUUAGAAGCGGAAAGAUUGAUGUAAAGCCCCUUAUCACGCACAGGUUUGGUUUCUCCCAGAAAGAAGUGGAAGAGGCCUUUGAAACAAGUGCUGGUGGUGGUACUGCAAUCAAGGUCAUGUUUAAUCUGUAAAAUACAACGUAAAGUAAACGUUUGGGCAAAAGAUGAAAUAAAAUGGAAUUGUCGCCGAGUAAUAUGAAUCAAAGUGUAGCAUAUUACUUUAUUUCUAUCUAUUACAAAAUAAAAUUCAGAUUUCUCAAGUUUUUUGUUCUUUAUUGUCUGCACUGUGCUAUAUUUUCUUCAUCCUUUUGUGUAUGCUUAUUUGAAAGCCAAUCAAUAGGUUUCCUGGUUAACAGAUGAUUACCCUGCAAGACAUUUCAGUCACCACUUUGGUUCAGCCGUGAGUUGUGUUUGCUGUAGACAACUGCAGAGUAAUUUCAACAUACCCGAACUCUUUCCUUUAACCUUCGUAACAUUUUUUAAAAGAUAAAACAAUUCUUUCAUACCAUUUUGCAAAAUUAGCCACCACUCACAUACAUGAAGUUGAUAUUGAUUCCUUUAUGAAGAUACAAUUAUUGCAAGGUUUCGAUUUCGGGGUCCAUUAAUUCUGAAAAAAAACAAAAUUAACAAACAACAAACGGUUCUGAAACCGAUAAAUUCUCUCCACGUAAGCACGUUAUCCCGUUGAAAAAAGAAACCAUAAUCUCUAUCACAAAUUUUUUAAAACUGUCAUUAGUAAUUGGAUUUAUCCUUAAAUAAAAAUGAGUCAGAUGAAAACAGAAAUCAAUCAUCUACGCGGAUAAAUACAAAGAACACUUGAUGUUAUGCCUCACUUGUCAUUAAAUAUUCCUGCGACCGAAUCAAAUCAUAUCCCAUAUCCAGAAUCAGAUAGUGUACAGAGUGAAGUCUCUGCUGUGCACUUGUGUUUUUGAAGGGUGAAAAGCAAAUAUGGGCAAAGGUGGGAUGUCACAAGGAGAAAAGGAAGAUGGAGAAGAAGUUAACAUGGCAGCUUGGCUUCUGGGUGUCAACACCCUCAAGAUUCAGCCUUUUGAGCUUCCUUCUCUGGGUAUUUUGAUCUUUCUUUCAUUUCAGUCUUGCAUCUUAGAAGUGUUAUGGAAUUUGUUUAUUGGUUGAAGAUAUGAACUUUUGAUAGAUUGAUAGAUAUCUAAAGAGAGAUCUUUGGUUGAAAAACAAUAAAAACACAUCUUCCAAUACAGCUUAUCUCAUACCUCUUACAAUUGAAUUAACUAUCACUCACAAUUAAUGUAAUUCAAACUGAUUGUUUUAACAUCUUUGUUUGUUAUUUGUAAACUGUAGGACCAUAUGAUGUUUUAGUCAGGAUGAAAGCCGUUGGUAUUUGUGGAAGUGAUGUGCAUUUUCUCAAGGUAUAUUUGUUAAUCCCUCUUCAACUUCCCUUAAAUUAUUAUUAUUAUUAUUAUUAUGGCAAUUACUCUGUCAAAUUGCUGAGAAAUGUUAAUAAUGGUAUAUUUUCACUUUAUGUUAUUCAAAAUAAUACUUGAAUGUUGAAUGUUUGUGUAUUUUUGCAGACCUUGAGGCUUGCCGAUUUUGUAGUGAAAGAGCCUAUGGUGAUCGGGCAUGAGUGUGCUGGGGUCAUAGAGAAGGUGGGAAGCGAGGUGAAGACUUUGGUGCCCGGUGACCGUGUGGCCCUGGAACCCGGGAUCAGCUGCUGGCGAUGUGAUCACUGCAAAGGAGGUCGAUACAAUUUGUGUCCAGAGAUGAAAUUUUUUGCAACUCCGCCAGUUCAUGGUUCUCUGGCUAAUCAGGUUGAUUGAAAAUUUACAUUUUGAGCUAAGGUCUAUAGGACUAUGAGAUGAGAAAUAUGGUAGACUGACUUUAACACAGUUUAUGCCCUUAUAAAUUUCAGUAAUGAUAUACUUACUAUGGUAAGUAUACCAUCACUACAGAACAAAAAAAUUUGAUUACAAGAUAAAAGAAAAUUCCACCGUAAGACAAUUUUUUUUUUGCUUUCUCUUACAGAUUUUGUACUAAUUAUUAUACAUACAUUAUUAUUCUAUAAAUUUUACUGUUUGAGAUUUUUUAGUGUCUUACAUUAUUACUACAAUACGAUCUAUGCCCUUGUGAAUUCUGUUGCAUAAAUAGUGGUGUCACUUUACCUGUUCUUCUAAAAACAUACUGGUUACUGUCAAUUGUGUAGUUCCGAUUUGAUCUUCUGUUCCCUCUUGUCAUAUAUUUUUUAUCUGGCAAUGUUUGUUGAUUCCUUUUAUUUGAAAUGAAAUUGGCUGCUAUUAAAAUUGAUCGGCUGCUUGACAUAAUGACUAAGAUGCAUUUCUUGUGUAUAAUAGGUGGUGCAUCCUGCAGACCUAUGUUUUAAGCUGCCCGACAAUGUCAGCCUGGAGGAAGGGGCUAUGUGUGAGCCCUUGAGUGUUGGUGUUCAUGCUUGCCGUCGUGCCAAUAUCGGUCCUGAGACAAAUGUGCUUAUCAUGGGUGCAGGGCCCAUAGGACUUGUCACAAUGCUAGCAGCUCGUGCUUUUGGAGCUCCUAGAAUUGUCAUUGUGGAUGUGGAUGACUAUCGUUUAUCUGUUGCAAAGGAAAUUGGUGCAGAUAAUAUUGUUAAAGUUUCAACAAAUUUGCAGGUAUAUUACUGCUCAUUGCCCAGCAGAAGAGUUUAGAAAAGUAAAAGACAUCUCAAAAUCUUCAUGCUCACAAUCCUUCCCUUUCUGGCUUUCUCUUAAUCAUCAUAACAACAUGUUUUGUUCAACCAACACUGUUGCAUUAAGACCUUGUUCUAACUUCCUCAGUUCAUUUUUGUUAUCACUACCUUUUGUUUUCUGUUUGAAAGUUGACCACUCUAAUCUGCAUUAUUCUUGUUAUCAGAGUAGAGGUGAGCUUGAGCUUUGGUUCGUUUGAAAAUUGAUCAUGUGCUCCUCACCCUUGUUUUUUCUGCUUGAAUAAACCGCUAUGCAUCGAGUAUUUUGCAGGAUAUAGCUGAAGAAGUGGAAAAGAUACAGAAAGCCAUGGGGACGGGAAUAGAUGUGAGCUUUGAUUGUGCAGGCCUUAACAAAACCAUGUCAACAGCACUGGGCGCCACUCGUGCAGGUGGUAAAGUUUGCCUCGUGGGGAUGGGUCAUCAUGAUAUGACUGUCCCACUCACUCCAGCUGCUGCAAGGUACUUGAUUUACGGUUUUCUUUUCCUUUUUUUUUCUUGUUUUGGGCUACUCCGUUAUUUACUUUAGGAAAAUGCUAUAUACCCCGGGUCAAACCCCAAAACUAAUUCAAGCGACGUUGUUUGAUCCUUUUUUUUUUUAUUCACCUUAAAACGACGCCGUUUUGUUUAGCUAACGUCAGCCUUAAUUGCUCUCUCUUCAUCUUCGUUUCAACGACAAAAUCGAUUUGGCUUAGACAAAACCGAUUUCAAGAACAUCAGCGACAAAACCGAUUUGGCAAAACCUUUAAGCUUUUAUCUUCCUUCUAGGUGAUUGGAUUUGGCUUAGAUAAGGCAAAAAGGAAAUCUUGAACAAGGUGGCUGCCAGGCGUGAUGGUGGUGCUAAUGGCUAGGUAUGCGUGAUGGUGGCUGCCAGUUGUGGAUCGCGAACGGUUGUGAAAUGAAGAGGAAGAUAAAGCAGUUGUUUUACAGAGACAUGGAAGGCGAAUGGUUGGGAGACGAAGAGGAAGAGAGAGCAAUUUUGGACCGUCGUUGCUUUUGUCUUAACUAAGCCAAAACGACAUCGUUUUUGGGAGAAUGAAAGGCCAAAAAAAAUAAAAAUGAAAUAGCGUCGUUUGCAUUAGUUUUGGAGUUUGACUUGGGGUAAAUAGCAACACUAUUUACUUUAAGUUUCUAGUUAGUUUCAGCAAAUUCACUUUAAGAUCACUUUUUUUUUUUUUUGAAAUCUGAGAAAAUUUGAAUUAGUGAUUUUUUUUUUUAUCUGAAUUGCUAAAAGUAAAUUUUAAAUUAUUUUUCUAACCUAAAAAAAAUAUAAAAACUAAUAUUUUUACAUUUAUAUCCUUACAAAUUAUAAAUGUUAAACAAAUAAUAAACAUAUCAAAAAAUAUAAACAAGAUAAUAUAUUAUUAUAACAUAAAUCAUAUUCAGUUGAAUACAACUCUUUAAUAUUUUAUAUUAAAUAUGUUAAUCAAAUUUAUUAUAGUUUAUGAUGUCUUUAUAUGAAAAAUAUUUAUAAAAAAUUAUGAAGAUAAAUAAUGCUAAUUUGAAGAAAAUAAAAAUAUGAAAAUAAUAAUAAUCUACCACUAUAUAUUAUCACAAGUUAUAUAGAGAUGGGUAAUAAUGCUAAUUAUUAAAUUUUAUUUAGGAAAUGAUGAAAAUUAAUUAGUGAGAUAUGAAUAUUUUGGAGAAUAUCUUUUAAUGGUACCAUUAAAACUUUUUAUAUUAAGCAAAAAAGGUAAAAAAAAUUAGUUCAAUAACUUAAUAACUUAAUGGCUGAAAUUUUUCAUUAAGUUGAAAAAAUAAAUAGAUUUAAUGACUUAAUUGAUUAAAAUUAAGUCAAUUAAGCCAAGUAAAAAAAGCAAAUGACCGCUAAGUCUCUGAAAUGCAAAAAAAAAAAAACACAAAAUUCGUGGGAGGAGCAUUUCAUUGUUGGAUUGGGAACAAAUGGAUUUAAAAAAUGAGAGAAUAAAAGUUGAAUACAAUUACCAAAAAGAUCAUAAAGCCAUCAUUUUUAAGAACAUGUAAAAUGGUAAACAAAAGUUGUUGAAUAAAAGUUGGAAUGUCCUAGAAUCAAUAGACUUGGAAGAAGAAUGUAAACAAAUUCUUGUGCUUGGGUUGUAUGUUAUCCAAUAGAACACGAUGGCAUGUCAAGAACAACCUUCACAAACCAUCUUGUAUAUUGUUUCUGUUUAAUGACUGUUUUUCCUUUCCUUUUCUCGAAACAUAUGCUUAAUGACUUCUUAAGCUGAAUAACCCGUUUCAGCUUUUAAUUGGACUAAAAUCCGUCUGAACCUUUUACCCUUAAAUUUAUGAGCAUAAUUGCGAACGCAGGGAAGUGGAUGUGGUGGGGGUGUUUCGCUACAAGAACACCUGGCCACUGUGUCUGGAGUUCCUUAGAAGCGGAAAGAUUGAUGUAAAGCCCCUUAUCACGCACAGGUUUGGUUUCUCCCAGAAAGAAGUGGAAGAGGCCUUUGAAACAAGUGCUCGUGGUGGUACUGCAAUCAAGGUCAUGUUUAAUCUGUAAGAUACAAUGUACUGCAAUCAAGGUCAUGUUUAAUCUGUAAAAUACAACGGCCAUGUAAACGUUUGGGCAAAAGAUUAAAUAAAAUGGAAUUGUCGCCGUGUAAUAUGAACCAAAGUUGAGCUUAUUAAUUUAUUUCUCAUCACCUUGCAGCCGCCGGCGUCAGAGUAACCGUCAUCUCGCUCUUGGCUAAUCCUAUCAGGCAAACUUUGCCUCCUGGACAAGUGGCAUUCAAAGCCGUUGACAUGGUUUUGUCAAACCCAACACAAUCAAAGCUCACAUCAAUGUCUGAACCCAUUGCAUUUUGUAUCUUCCCCACUUCUGUAUCAACGUCCUGCCAAUGUUUUUGCACAGCUUCAAGGCCUAGAAAAAAUUGGGAAAGUGAAAACAGAGUGAUAAUCAUCUAUAUCUGACAAUUAACCUCGAUAUCUGUUGAGAUUUAACUGUUUCAUCCGCGCCAAGAUUCCUCGCAAUAAAUAGACGCUGAACAUCAACAUCAGUGAUGACAAUUCUGGGGGCACCAAAUGCUCGAGCAGCUAACAGGGUAACAAGGCCUAUCGGUCCUGAUCCCAAGAUCAAUACAUUGGUUUCAGGUCCAACGUUUGCACAUUGCUCCUUCCUCCAAGCUCAUAUUUAUCAGGUAACUUGUAACAUAACUUUGCUGGAUGCACAACCUAGUUGCGGGAAAAAGAAAAUGUCUCCGUUAUUUACAAUUCUUAUGUACAUAGACCGCAUGUGAAAUUAAAAAAAUUCUAGUUUGGGAAGCUGAAGACAUCUGAUCAUUGACCUUAUGGGCAAGAGAGCCGUUGGUUGGAGGAGAUCCAAAGAAUCUCAUUUCAGGACAAAGAUUAUAGCUACCAGCUUUGCAGAGACUGCAGUGUUCGCAACUAAUACCAGGUUCUAGAGCCACACGAUCACCCACCUCAAGGGACUUAACUUCACUGCCAACUUCUUCUAUGAUCCCAGCACACUCAUGUCCAAUUACCAUAGGUUUUUUCACAAUAAAAUUGGCACAUCUCAUAGUCUGAUCAUAAACAACAUUUUGCAUACAAUAAGCAGUGACAGCCUUUGGCAUAUUAUACAGUCAUCAAGAUUUUGCAUAGAGACAGACAGAAAGCUUUUUUCACCUUGAAGUGAUGAACAUCACUUCCACAUAUUCCAAGAGCCUUCAUUCGUACUUUCACAUCUUGAGGACCUAAAAAUUACACAAUUUUUUAUUUUUGGGCAUGGCACGGCAUGACAAGUGAUCUGAUUAAAUUCACAGUUGUGCGUAUAGAAUAACGAGAAGAAGAUUAAAAUAUAAUACCUAGGGUAGGCAAAUGAUAUGGCUGAAUUUUCAGAGUUUUGAUUCCAAGCAGCCAUAUUCUGAUUCUCGUCUCCUUCGUUAUCUCUGAUUGCCUUAACUUCACCAUCAUCACCCUUCUUAUCGGCCAUUUCAAUGUUUCCCUUUUUUUCCUUUCCUCUCGUCCUCUAUUUACACAGUGUUAUUGUGUCUCGUAUUAUCCCCUGGAAGUGAAGCUGACUAGAUCCUAGUUAAAAUUGCCUCCUUUUUCUUUUCUUUUUCCCAUCUCAUUUCCCUUGUGCCUGCCAAACAAACUUCUUAAUUAUUAUAGUCACCUUUUUGUACAGGUAUUCCCUUCCCUCCCAUUAUUAAGUUAUUUAAAUUAUAUGAAUUUUAAAAUAUUAUUUCAUGUGACCAUAUUCAUUAAAAGAAGUCAUGAAAAUCAAAUUAUUGGCUUUCUUUUAGUCCAUAGUACCAUACAAUUCUUUCAUACCAUUUUGCAAAAUUAGCCACCUCCCACAUACAUGUAGUUGAUUUUGAUUCCUUUAUGAAGAUACAAUUAUUGCACAGUUUGGAUUUUGGGGUCCAUAAAUUCUGAAAAAAACAAAAUUAACAAACAACCAACGGUUCUGAAACCAAUAAAUUCUCUCCACGUAAGCACGUUAUCCUGUUGAAAAAGAAACCAUAAUCUCUAUUAGAUAGUGUACAGAGUGAAGUCUCUGCUGUGCACUUGUGUUUUUGAAGGGUGAAAAGCAAAUAUGGGCAAGGGAGGGAUGUCACAAGGAGAAAAGGAAGAUGGAGAAGAAGUUAACAUGGCAGCUUGGCUUAUGGGUGUCAACACUCUCAAGAUUCAGCCUUUGGAGCUUCCUUCUCUGGGUAUUUUUAUCUUUCUUUCAUCUCUGUCUUGUAUCUUAGAAGUGUUAUGGAAUUUGUUUAUUGGUUGAAGAUAUGAACUUUGUUAGGUUGAUAUAUAUCUAAAGAGAGAUCUUUGGUUGAAAAACAAUGAAAACACAUCUUCCAAUACAGCUUAUUUCAUACCUUUUACAAUUGAAUUAACUAUCACUCACAAUUAAUGUAUUUCAAACUGAUUGUUUUAACAUCUUUGUUCGUUAUUUGUAAACUGUAGGACCUUAUGAUGUUUUGGUCAGGAUGAAAGCCGUUGGUGUUUGUGGAAGUGAUGUGCAUUUUCUCAAGGUAUAUUUGUUAAUCCCUCUUUAACUUCCCUUAAAUUAUUAUUAUUAUUAUUAUUAUGGCAAUUACUCUGUCAAAUUGCUGAGAAAUGUUAAUAACGGAAUCUUUUCACUUUAUGUUAUUCAAAAUAAUACUUGAAUGUUGAAUGUUUGUGUAUUUUCGCAGACCUUGAGGUGUGCCGAUUCUGUUGUGAAAGAGCCUAUGGUGAUUGGGCACGAGUGUGCUGGGGUCAUAGAGAAGGUGGGAAGCGAGGUGAAGACUUUGGUGCCCGGUGACCGUGUGGCCCUGGAACCAGCGAUCAGCUGCUGGCAAUGUGAUUACUGCAAAGGAGGUCGAUACAAUUUGUGUCCAGAGUCGAAAGGUCUUGGAAGUCCGCCAGUUCAUGGUUGUCUGGCUAAUCAGGUUGAUUGAAAAUUUACAUUUUGAACUAAGUUCUAUAGGACUAUGAGAUGAGAAAUAUGGUAGACUGACUUUAACACAGUUUAUGCCCUUGUAAAUUUCAGUAAUGAUAUACUUACUACGGUUAGUAUAUACCAUCACUACAGAACAAAAAAAUUUGAUUACAAGAUAAAAGAAAAUUCCACUGUAAGACAAUUUUUUUUUUUUUUUUGCUUUCUCUUACAGAUUUUGUACUAAUAAUUAUACAUACAUUAUUAUUCUAUAAAUUUUACUGUUUGAGAUUUUUUAGUGUAUUAGAUUAUUACUACAAUAUGAUCUAUGCCCUUGUGAAUUCUGUUGUUAAAUAGUGGUGUCACUUUACUUGUUCUUCCAAAAACAUACUGGUUACUGUCAAUUGUGUAGUUCCCAUUUGAUCUUCUGUUCCCUCUUGUCAUAUAUUUUUUAUCUGGCAAUGUUUGUUGAUUCCUUUUAUUUGAAAUGAAAUUGGCUGCUAUCAAAAUUGAUCGGCUGCUUGACACAAUGACUAAGAUGCAUUUCUUCUCUAUAAUAGCUGGUGCAUCCUGCAGACCUAUGUUUUAAGCUGCCCGACAAUGUCAGCCUGGAGGAAGGGGCUAUGUGUGAGCCCUUGAGUGUUGGUCUUCAUGCCUGCCGCCGUGCCAAUAUCGGUCCUGAGACAAAUGUGCUUAUCAUGGGAUCAGGGCCCAUAGGACUUGUCACAAUGCUAGCAGCUCGUGCUUUUGGAGCUCCUAGAAUUGUCAUUGUGGAUGUGGAUGACUAUCGUUUAUCUGUUGCAAAGGAAAUUGGUGCAGAUAAUAUUGUUAAAGUUUCAACAAAUUUGCAGGUAUAUUACUGCUCAUUGCCCAGCAGAAGAGUUUAGAAAAGUAAAAGACAUCUCAAAAUCUUCAUGCUCGCAAUCCUUCCCUUUCUCUUAAUCAUCAUAACAACAUGUUCUGUUCAACCAACUCUGUUGCAUUAAGACCUUGUUCCAACUUCCUCAGUUCAUUUUUGUUCUCAGUACCUUUUUGUUUUAUGUUUGAAAGUUGACCACUCUAAUCUGCACUAUUCUUGUUAUCAGAGUAGAGGUGAGCUUGAGCUUUGGUUCGUUUGAAAAUUGUUCAUGUGCUCCUCACGCUUGUUUUUUCUGCUUGAAUAAACCGCUAUGAGUCUUGAGUAUUUUGCAGGACAUAGCUGAAGAAGUGGAAAAGAUACAGAAAGCCAUGGGGACAGGAAUAGAUGUGAGCUUUGAUUGUGCAGGCUUUAACAAAACCAUGUCAACAGCACUGAGUGCCACUCGUGCAGGUGGUAAAGUAUGCCUUGUGGGGAUGGGUCAUCAUGAAAUGACUGUCCCACUCACUCCGGCUGCUGCAAGGUACUUGAUUUACGGUUUUCUUUUUCAUUCUUUUUUUAUUGUUUUGGGCUACUCUGUUAUUUAGUUUUAAGUUUCUAAUUGGAUUAAGCAAAUUUACUUUAAGGUGGCGUUUAUUUUUUUGUCUCAAAUUUGAAUAAAUUUGAAUUAGUUUGAAUUCUUAAUAUAACUGAAUAUUUGAAUCUUAAUGAUAUAUUUGUUUUCCUUUUUUGUUUGAAUCGAUAAAAAUAAAUUUGAAGUUUUUUUUUACCUGAAAAAUGUAAAAACUAAUAUUUUUACAUUUAUUCCCUUACAAAUUAUAAAUGUUAAACAAAUAAUAAACAUCUCAAAGAAUAUAAAGAAAAUAAUAUAUUAUCAUAACAUAAAUCAUAUUCAAUUGAAUACAACUCUUUAAUAUUCUAUAUUAUAUAUAUUAAUCAAUUUUAUUAUAGUUUAUGAUGUUUUUAUAUGAAAAAUAUUUAUAAAAAAUUAUGAAGAUAAAUAAUGCUAGUUUGAAGAAAAUAAAAAGAUAAAAAUAAUAAUAAUCUACUACUAUAUAUUAUCACAAGUUAUACAGAGAUGGGUAAUAAUGCUAAUUAUUAAAUUUUAUUCAGGUAAGAAUGAAAAUUAAUUAAUUAAAUAUGGAUAUUUUAGAGAAUAUCUUUCAAUGAUUUAUUAAGACUUUUUAAAUUAAGCAAAAAAUUUAAAAAAAAUUAGCUUAAUAACUUAAUGAGUUAAUUGAUUAAAAUUAAGUAAAUUAAGUCAAGCCAAAAAAGCAAAUGAUUCGUAAGUCUCUAAAAUGCAAAUAAAAAAAUAACACAAAAAUUGGUAGGCAGGGGCAUUUCAUUGUUGGAUUGGGAACAAAUGGAUUUAAGAAAUGAGAGAAUUAAGGAUACCCGGAAAGAGCAUAAAGCCAUCAUUUUUAAGAACAUGUAAAAUGGUAAACAAAAGUUGUUGAAUAAAAGUUGGAAUGUCCUAGAAUCAAUAGACUUGGAAGAAGAAUGUAAACAAAUUCUUGUGCUUGGGUUGUAUGUUAUCCAAUAGAACAUGAUGGCAUGUCAAGAACAACUUUCACAAACCAUCUUGUAUAUUAUUUCUGUUUAAUGACUUUUUUUUUCUUUCCUUUUCUCGAAACAUAUGUUUAAUGACAUCUUAAGCUGAAAAACACGUUUCAGCCUUUAAUUGGACUAAAAUCCGUCUGAACCUUUUACCCUUAAAUUUAUGAGCAUAAUUGUGAAUGCAGGGAGGUGGAUGUGGUGGGGGUGUUUCGCUACAAGAACACCUGGCCACUGUGUCUGGAGUUCCUUAGAAGCGGAAAGAUUGAUGUAAAGCCCCUUGUCACGCACAGGUUUGGUUUCUCCCAGAAAGAAGUGGAAGAGGCCUUUGAAACAAGUGCUCGUGGUGGUACUGCGAUCAAGGUCAUGUUUAAUC